GGAUGUAGCGUAGUUGGCCUAACGCGUCAGAUUGUGGCUCUGAAGACCGUGGGUUCAAAUCCCACCCUC
rnacentral:tRNA from 1 species